AACCCGACUGGGGGAUGGCUCGGCUCGAGAGCCGACGAAGGUCGUGACAAGCUGCGAAAAGUCGCGGGGAGAGGCAUGAAUCUCAUGGAUCCGCGAAUUGCCGAAUGGGACCUCCUGGCGCUAUGCGCCAUUCCACAAAUGGAAAGGGAACCCCCCGAACUGAAGCAUCUCAGUAGGGGGAGGAAAAGAAAUCAAACGAGAUUCCGCUAGUAGUGGCGAAUGAACACGGAAUCGGACAAACCGAAUCUCUCGGGGAAACCCGGGAGAGAUGUGGGGUAUGGACUGUCUCAGCCUAAAAUAUCGAAAUGGAAAUCGCCUGGAACGGCGUGCCACAGAGGGUGAAAGCCCCGUACAUGCAGAUGUGAUGGUUUUGUGACAGAUUCCUGAGUAGCGUGCGUUGGAUAUCGCGCGUGAAUAUGGGGGGCAGAAACCUCCAAUCCUAAAUACUACUCGAGACCGAUAGUUAACAAGUAGAGUGAUCGAAAGCUGAAAAGUAUCCUUAGCGGGAUGUGAAAAGAACCUGAAACCAGUCGGGAACAGGCUGAAUAUGCGUGAAAGCGAUGAUAUGAGCAGCGUGUAUUCGUGCGUUUCGAAAAAUGCCCCUGGGAGUUCUGAUCAUUGGCGAGGUUAAGGAGUUGAUCUCCGAAGCCGAAGGGAAACCGACAAGUCCGCAGCCGCUUAUGGCGGUCAGGGACGGGAUGUGCUCGUCCGAAGUCAAUGGUGGGAGACCUGAAGCCCGUCGAUCUAUGCCUGGCCAGAUUGAAGCCCGGUGAAAGCUGGGUGGAGGAUCGAACCGUUGCUGAUCUGCAAAUCGCUCGGAGGAGCUGGGUAUAGGGGUGAAAGUCCAAUCGAGAUGGGCAAUAGCAGGUUCCGCGCGAGACUACUCGUAGGUAGAUCUCCGCUGAGGUAGAUGAUGAUGUAGAGCACUGAUUGGGUAUUUAGGGGGAGCAAUUCCUCGAUACGCUGUCAAACUCCGAAGUUGUCAUCGCUGUAGACGCGGGGAGUGAGCCACGGUGGGUAAGCUACCGUGACGAAAGGUGAAUAAACCAGCUCAGUGUUAAGGUCCCAAAGUACCAGUUAAGUGUUAAUCUGAAACGGCGUCCGUGGUCGAAGACAACCAGAAGGUGGGCUUAGAAGCAGCCACCCUUGAAAGAGUUCGUAACAGAUCACUGGUCAAGCUUGCGGGCCCGGAAAAUGGACGGGGCUCAAACUGGUCACCGAUACACUGAUCCUUCGAAAGAAGAUGAGGUAGCGCGGCGAUGUGCUCGGGUAGAAGCGAGGUUGUGAGAUCUCGUGGACCGUGUACAUAUGAGAAUCUAGGGAAGAGUAGCAGCAUAGUGCGGUGAGAAUCCGCACCACCGAAAGGGUAAGGGUUCCUCGGCAAUGUUUUUCAGCCGAGGGUUAGCCGGUCCUAAGGUCAAUCUUAACCGACUUGAUCGAAAGGGAAUUGCGUUAAUAUUCGUAAGCCUCUCUGCAAUAAUGGUAACGGCUAAGGCUAGUUCGUGCACUUCAGUCAUGGAGUGUCGAAGCGUUCGAUAAUCGUGUGGAGAACCGUCAUGGUGAGAAACACGAGAAGGCGUGAGUGAAAGACGGAUGAGGCCUUGGUCCCAUGAAAAACCGCAGAAGAUGACCGUACCGAGAACUGACACAGGUACCCAAGGUGAGUAGCCUAAGGUGUGACGGGUAAAGUACCGCGAAGGAACUCGGCAAAAUCGCCCCGUAACUUCGGGAGAAGGGGUGCCAGCUCUGAAGAGAGCUGGUCGCAGUGACAAGAGGACUCCGACUGUUUAAUAAAAACAUAGGCGACUGCUAGAUCGAAAGGUUGUGUAUAGUCGCUGAAUCCUGCUCAGUGCCCUGACGAAGGACCGGUAAACAGCGGGGGUAACUAUGACCCUCUUAAGGUAGCGUAAUACCUUGUCGCUUAAUUGGCGACUUGCAUGAAUGGCCCAACGAGAGUCCUACUGUCUCCGCGGUACGUCCGGCGAAAUUGACAUUACUGGCGCACAGUCCAGUACCCUCAACCUGCAAGCGAAGACCCCGUAGAGCUUUACUGCAGCCUGGCGUUGUACAAUCGCACUUUACGUGCUGAGUAGACGGGAGACGUUGAUCCACGGGACGCCAGUCCCGUGAGUAGUCGUCCAUAGAGACACCGUCCUUGGAGUGUAAUUGUACUCACUCUUCAUGAGAACACCGCUUGGUGGGCAGUUUGGGUGGGGCGCCACGCGCUCGAAAACAUAACAAGCGUGCCCAAAGGUCAGCUUAGGUGGUUCAGUCUCCACCGUUAACUGUAAGGGGAAAAGCUGGCUUGACUUGGAUCGGACCAAUAACGAUCGAAGAUGCGAAAGCACGGCCUAACGAACCAAUGUACCUCAUUUCUGGGGGUCAUUGAUAACAGAAAAGUUACCUCGGGGAUAAUUGAGUUGUCACCAGCAAGAGCACACAUCGACCUGGUGGCUUGCUACUUCGAUGUCGUCUCUUCCCAACCUCCUGGUGCAGCAGCUGGGAAGGGUGGGGUUGUUCGCCCAUUAA
rnacentral:rRNA from 1 species